CCACUCUGCAGGCUGAUUGUGCAGAGGAGCCCAGGAAGGCCAAAGAAAUGGUCUCCAUGAAGGACUCCCUAUACUGGACAGCGAUUAACCAAUCAAGUCACGGCCUGCUUGUCUGGGUGAGGUGGAAGAAGAUGGAGAAAAAGGAAGAACGUACACCUUGCCACCUCAACUCCUACUGUCUAAAAUGUUAACUGUCAAGUCUCUACUCUGGCCUGUGCCUGUCCAGAGGGCUCUCAUGAAGGUUCUCAUGAAAGGAAUCUCUGUACGAUCCAAGAAAAGCAAAGAAUAGCACCUGAAUUAUCUCAAAGUUUCAACACAAGACAGUAUAUAACUACGGUUCAAUUGUACCUACCAUAUGUCCCAAACAAUAUGCAUUAGCUCCUUCCUCCAACAACUCUUUUCCUGACUUCUUCUCUAGGUCCAGGACAUCACCAUCAGUAACUUGUAUUAAUUCUUCACUUCCUCACACACUAGACAUUCAGUGACCAUCUCCUCUUAUUUCUACAAGUAUCUCUUAAAUUGAAUCUCUCAUCUCCAUCUCUAUACUUCAAUAUCCUCAUUCUCUCUCUCUCUCACACACACACACAUAUACACAGUGAUGAUAUGGUUUGUGUCCCCACCCAAAUCUCAUCUUGAACUGUAGCUCCCAUAAUCCCUACAUCAUGGGAGGGACCCGGUGGGAAGUAAUUGAAUCAUGGGAGCAGGUUUUCUCAUGCUGUUCUCGUGACAGUGAAUAAGUCUCACGAGGUCUGAUGGUUUGAUAAAGGGGAGUUCCCCUGCACAUGCUCUCUUGCCUGCCACCAUGUAAGACAUACCUUUGCCUUUGCCUUCCACCAUGAUUGUGGGGCCUCCCCAGCCUUGCGGAACUGCGAUUAGUUCAUUAAACCUCUUUUUUUUUUAAAUAAAUUACUCAGUCUUGGGUAUUUCUUCAUAGCAGUAUGAAAAUGGCCUGAUACAGUAAAUUGGUACUGGUAGAGUGGGAUAAU
rnacentral:lncRNA from 10 species